rnacentral:rRNA from 1 species
AUGUGAUCGUCUCUCGCAUAUCAAUAAGCGGAGGAAAAGAAACUAACAAGGAUUCCCCUAGUAACGGCGAGUGAAGCGGGAAGAGCUCAAAUUUGAAAUCCUUAAAGGGUUUCCCUUUACGAAUUGUAGUUUAAAGAAGUGUUUUCUGUUGAGGUUUUGGUAAAAGUUCUUUGGAAUAGGACAUCAUAGAGGGUGAGAAUCCCGUAUUUGACCUUUACUUUCAACUUUGUGAUACACUUUCAAAGAGUCGGAUUGUUUGGGAAUGCAGUCCAAAAUGGGUGGUAAAUUUCAUCUAAAGCUAAAUAUUGGCGAGAGACCGAUAGCGAACAAGUACCGUGAGGGAAAGAUGAAAAGAACUUUGAAAAGAGAGUUAAACAGUACGUGAAAUUGUCAAAAGGGAAGCGUUUGACACCAGUGUUGUUUUUCUGAAAAUCAAUUAAAGAACUGUUUAUGCUAAGCUGUUUAGACUUUAUCAGCUAAUCUGUUUAGUUUUGAGCUUUUCUUUAAUGCACUUUUCAGUUAACAAGUCAACAUCAAUUUCUUUUGCUGUAAAAAAGCUUGAGGAAGGUGGCUUGAGAUUCGUCUUAAGUGUUUAUAGCCUCUUGCCUAUGCAGUCGGAGAGAUUGAGGUCUGCAGCGUAGAUCCUUCGGGGCUAAAUGCAUUUGUGCUAAGUUAUAGCAUUUUAUAGACAACUUGUUGACUAUGAUUUGUCUUGUAGCUUACUCGCUUAUGUUAUUUUACCUACGCUUAGGAUGUUGAACGCGCACAGAGUCUC